rnacentral:RNase_P_RNA from 2 species
GCAGAGGGCUGGAUGGCCGCGGGGGGCGUAUGCCCCGCGAGGAAAGUCCGGACUCCAUAAGGCAGUGGUGCCGGGUAACGCCCGGGCAGGGCAACUUGACGGAUAGCGCCACAGAAAACAGACCGCCGCGGCGAGUCAGAGGUUCGCCUUUGGCAAAACGCGGUAAGGGUGAAACGGUGGAGUAAGAGCCCACCGCGCUGCUGGCAACAGGAGCGGCACGGCAAGCCCCACCAGGAGCAAUGCCAAAUAGGACCCCCGCGUGGGCUGAUCCCGGCAACGGGAUAUCGCCGCUAGGUAUGCUUUAACCAAGAGGGGUCGGGUUGGCAGCUUGAGGUUCGCAGCAAUGCGCGCCCUAGAGGAAUGGUCAUCGAAGGGGGCAACCCCGGAACAAAAUCCGGCUUAUAGGCCCUCUGCGCAA